GGAAUCUUGCGCAAUGGGCGAAAGCCUGACGCAGCAACGCCGCGUGGGGGAUGAAGGCCUUCGGGUUGUAAACCCCUUUCAGGAGGGAAGAAAAUGACGGUACCUCCAGAAGAAGCCCCGGCCAACUACGUGCCAGCAGCCGCGGUAAUACGUAGGGGGCGAGCGUUGUCCGGAAUUAUUGGGCGUAAAGAGCUCGUAGGCGGCUCAGCAAGUCGGCUGUGAAAUCCCGAGGCUCAACCUCGGAACUGCAGUCGAUACUGCUGUGGCUAGAGUCUGGUAGAGGAGAGUGGAAUUCCCGGUGUAGCGGUGAAAUGCGCAGAUAUCGGGAGGAACACCAGUAGCGAAGGCGGCUCUCUGGGCCAGUACUGACGCUGAGGAGCGAAAGCGUGGGGAGCAAACAG
rnacentral:rRNA from 1 species